UGCUGCAUAUUAGAGAGAAUGUAUAGAGAAGGUCAGAAGGAGUUGCACUGUGUCAUUGUGGACCCAGAGAAAGCGUAUGAGAGGAACUGUGGUCCUGCAUGAGGAAGUCAGGAGUAAAAGAGAGGAGUAGCCGAUGUUGUGCCAAAAAGGGAUCGCUGUCCAAAAAGUGAUUUACGGUAUUUAAAGGUUCAUCUCCAUCGUCUGCAGAGCAGAGGACCGGGUCAACACAGGUGCACUGCACUGUGAGCUAUUCCAAACUCCUACAAUCCUUCCAUGGCACAAGAAAGACUGAGUGGACUGGCAGUAAUUAGUAUUAACAACAAAGUUGGCCAUCACAUUUCUUGCAAUGAUGUAAUAAAUGAUUUUGCCUCCAGAAAAGCUGGGAAACAAAGGUGUUAAGAUGGAGUGUUGAGGAAAAACAAAAAGGUCAAAUGUUUGGAGUCCAAUCAUUCAUUUUGAAACUGUAGCUCUCACAGCUCAGGACAAGCAGACACCUGAUGACCACUGAAUGGAAGUGAAACAAGAAUUCAUAAUUAUGUUUGUGUCUCAUGAACACAUGAUGAUAAAACUCUGCAUAUGCAGUCAGGAGACUGAUGACCUGUGAAAUGAGCUGUUAGAAUUGUGCAGAUAUCUGUAAACAUUAUAUGUAGCAAAACUUCUGGCCUACAGGAAAUGACGACAUCGGAUAUCAAAACAAGAAAUCUGUCAUAUGAUAAAAAUGAACAAGUUGGGUUUCCAACUUUAAAACAUCUUCGUGUCUGCUGCACUUUAACUCAAGAUUAAUCCCAUUAAAUGUAUGAGAACCUUUAAUCACAUCCUCUCUGUAGUGAAAUAG